UACGUAGGGUGCGAGCGUUGUCCGGAAUUAUUGGGCGUAAAGCGCGCGCAGGCGGUCCUUUAAGUCUGAUGUGAAAGCCCACGGCUCAACCGUGGAGGGUCAUUGGAAACUGGGGGACUUGAGUGCAGAAGAGGAAAGCGGAAUUCCACGUGUAGCGGUGAAAUGCGUAGAGAUGUGGAGGAACACCAGUGGCGAAGGCGGCUUUCUGGUCUGUAACUGACGCUGAGGCGCGAAAGCGUGGGGAGCAAACAGG
rnacentral:rRNA from 1 species